rnacentral:rRNA from 1 species
GAUGAACGCUGGCGGCGUGCCUAAUACAUGCCAGUCGAGCGAACAGACGAGGAGCUUGCUCCUCUGACGUUAGCGGCGGACGGGUGAGUAACACGUGGAUAACCUACCUAUAAGACUGGGAUGACUUCGGGAAACCGGAGCUAAUACCGGAUAAUAUAUUGAACCGCAUGGUUCAAUAGUGAAAGACGGUUUUGCUGUCACUUAUAGAUGGAUCCGCGCCGCAUUAGCUAGUUGGUAAGGUAACGGCUUACCAAGGCAACGAUGCGUAGCCGACCUGAGAGGGUGAUAGGCCACACUGGAACUGAGACACGGUCCAGACUCCUACGGGAGGCAGCAGUAGGGAAUCUUCCGCAAUGGGCGAAAGCUUGACGGAGCAACGCCGCGUGAGUGAUGAAGGUCUUCGGAUCGUAAAACUCUGUUAUUAGGGAAGAACAAAUGUGUAAGUAACUAUGCACGUCUUGACGGUACCUAAUCAGAAAGCCACGGCUAACUACGUG